UACAGAGACUGCAAGCGUUGUCCGGAAUUAUUGGGCGUAAAGAGCUCGUAGGCGGUCUGUCGCGUCUGCUGUGAAAACCCGAGGCUCAACCUCGGGCCUGCAGUGGGUACGGGCAGACUAGAGUGCGGUAGGGGAGAAUGGAAUUCCUGGUGUAGCGGUGGAAUGCGCAGAUAUCAGGAGGAACACCGAUGGCGAAGGCAGUUCUCUGGGCCGUAACUGACGCUGAGGAGCGAAAGCGUGGGGAGCGAACAGG
rnacentral:rRNA from 1 species